rnacentral:lncRNA from 1 species
UUUUUUUUUUUUUUUUUUUUUUUUUUUUAAGUGGCCCAGAACCAAAGGAAUUGAUUCCCCAGUUCUGGAGGCCAAAAGUCCAAAAUCAAGGCCCACACAGACAUGCUCCCUCCAGAGCCUCUACACACAAUCCUUCCUGCCUCGUCCAGCUUCUCCUCGUGUUCCUUGGCUUGUGGCCACGUCACCAGUCUCACGUGUCCUUCUUCUCCGUGUCGCUCUGUCUCCUUUACUGUCAUUGGAUUUAGGACCAACCCCGACGCAGCACGAUCUCAGCUCUGUCCUAACCUUCAUUGUAUCUGCAAAGACCCCAGGAUUCUGGUUGCCUGUGAAUGGGGGGAGGGUGGACGCUUUUCAACCCAUCACUGUGGCCCCCACAGCAUCCAUGUGGAUUGACACGGAAAUGGAGGCCCAGAGAGGCAGUUUGGCCUGGGCCUCACAGUUGAAUGUGGCCCCUCGAGGGCUACAGGCAAGCCUUUACCUCCAGUAUGGAGGCUCUUCCCCUAGAAGGACAGUGUGGCCGCUGUCGCCUCGGCUCCUGCUCUCAGCCUGCUGCUGGGGUCAGAAUAUGAGAGCAAACUGGGCCUCCCAGCCCAGCAGGUGGAGGUGGGGACUCUGGCCAUUCCCCGGGCCCCAUCACCGUAGCGACUCAGGGAACCACGCCAAAGACUGAUGGCAUGAGGCUGCCACCCAUGGGCUGAGCACCAAGAGGCAAAUGCCCUAGGGACUCUGGUUCAUGUCCAGUCUCAUUUUCGAUGUGUUUUCUGCUUUUAUCUCCCAGCUGCUGACACACCACUCCUAAUGGGUGAUUCUCUUUCUCUGUAGAGAUGUCGCUCGUCUCCCCUAAAUGCCAUCCCUCCGGUUUUCUGUGCUGCCACCGCGUUUGUCCCCCUGCUUGCCGAGCUUGCGAAUGACAGUAGGCAGAGCGCCCUCUGGACUCCCCAGUCAGUGCCGUGUGGCCCCUUCAUCAACAGCCUGGAUCUGCCCCAGCCCCGGCCUGCAAACAUCCUUGUGGGGACUUGGCUUUUUUGGAGGCUUUCAGUCAAUGACAGUAUCCUUUUUGUAAUAAAAAGGGGGAGAAUUGCUGACAAUUUUCACAAAUUUGGACUCUGGCAGGAAUAAUUUUCUCUGAAUUAUAUGUGAUUCUCCCAUUUUAUGGAGCCCUAACAUUUUGUUUGCUUGCGGUGUUGCUUCUCAGCCAACGGUUCAGUGUUUGGUCUCUCCUGCCACUUGUUUUCAAGCUGUAGGAGUUUAGCACAAAAUGUCAGUACAGUGGACCUUCCCUGUGGCCAACACCCUCAGCCUUCCUGACCCCCAUAGUCCGGAAGCAGUGAAGGAGGCCACAGAUGAGGGAGUUAAUUCAAGUCCUAACUUGCUGAGCCUCCAGCCUUUCCUUUCUGCCUUUAUCUUAGGGUGGAGGGGAGCCCUUGGUCCUUGGAGGGUGUGAUGGAGGCAGAGAGGGAUUCCCACAUAUGCUGAGUGGGAGGGCUUGGUCCACAAGGCAGAGAAAGAGAAGGCAGGGAGUUUUCCAGCUUCACAGAUGGACCUGGCAUUGUCUGCAUCUUUAAGAGCGCAGCCACGGUUUCCAGGAAUGGGGGACUCUGAGACAGUAGCCACCGUCUACACGUCAUGUGGCUGCUUCACACCCAGCUUUGCACAAACGCUGUCACAUCUGUCUGUUUGCUGGUCUCAGGGAUCAUGACCAGCGUACAACACAGCAGGUGAUGAGUGCAUCUCGGUCGAAUGACUGAAAUAGUUCCUAUUGUUAUUAAUUUAUAGAUCCAUCGCCUUAGUCAACAAAUCAGUGCAGCAUGCAUACUAUGGGCCAGGCCCUCGUGCUGGGUGUCAGGGGUAGGACAGAGAAGGAAGCAGGCAACCCUUCUGCCCUCAUGAAGCUGAGAUUCUAGAGGGAGAAUUCAGGCAAUAAAGUUAAGUAGAUUAUAGUCAGUGAUCUGUUAGAAAGUGAUAAGCACCAUAGAGAAAAAGCAUGGAAGGAGAGAGGGGUGCCGUUUUAAGGGGAGGAAGUGUUCAGGGUGGGCCUGUCUGAGAGGGUGAGAGAUGAGGAAAGAUGAAGAAGAGGGGAGAGCGCCAUGCGGAUGCUGGGAAGGGCAUUCCCGGUAGGGGAACAGCUAGUGCAAAGGACCUGUGAUGUGUUUGAGAAGCAGCGAGGAAGUCAGAGGGCCUGGCGUGAACAGGAGGGAGAACGGGAGAGAGGACGCCAGUGAGUUAAAGGGCCACCCUCCCCGCCACGGUGGGAUGAGACAGUGAGAACUCAGGGAGUUUAAGGGACAUGGCUUGAGCCAUCCAGCUCAUGAGUGGCAGGGUGCAACCCAGCCUUUGGAUUCUGCUUUCUGGGUCACCUUAACAUGACAAGAGGGUACACCAGAGGGUGGCCCCUUUGUGACUCGUUGCGCCGGUCUGCUGAUGCUCUAACUUGGUGAGAACAAGCGAAUGUCCCUUCCUGGCUCCUGAGAGCCUCUUGGGUUGUGGGAUAAGUCUUGGUGGCCUGUUAUUUCAGUCUGAGCUGUCCGCUGAGGUCCCAGCUAGACCCCAGAGCCCUCCAGAGUCCCUAAAGUGUCUUUCUCGGUGGCCCAAUGCCACAACGACUCUGGUUCCUCCCCACGUUUCUCUUUCUUGCCCCCAAAUGUUCUCGUCGCCUUCUGGACCCAGCUUCAUCAUUGAAGCCAGGAAGAAAUUUAAUUUAGGGACCCACCUGCACAGUCAGGAAAUUGCUUUUGCUUAUUCGCGCUGACAAAACCAUCUUCCUCCGCUGACCUUUCUUGCCUCCCAUUCUGGCAACAUUUCCCUUUGCUUAACUUUCAGUGCAAUCUCCUUUUCCCACCUUUGCUUCUCUUAUUUUUUAGACUGUCCUUUGCUCACAUGAAGACUCCUUCCCGUUUGCUCUCGCUGCUUCGUCUUCCCUAUUGAAGGUGUUUUCCCGCCGCCACCUCCUUGGUGAAUGACCUCGGAGACCUCUGACCCACUUCCCAUCUGGGGACCUUUGCGGGACUGGGCUGGCCCCUGCCUUUGUUUGCAUUAUCUACAUAGAGGCAAGUGCUUCUUACUGCACAGAGCGCUGUUUAGUUUUCCUGGGAAACCAGGACUGGGAGAUGGUUCGGGUGGUACCUCCGAUAGAGACGCAUAAAGCUCUGUGCGUUUGUUGAUUAACCAGACAACCAGACAAGAACCCUGAAUGCAGCCUCGUCCAUCUCCGAGAUUCAGGUGUGGUUGAAUAUAUACCUCAAAGAUGACAUUACUUGUCUGAUGGCAGGAAUAUCUAUCAGUACAGUAUGGGGUUGUUUGUCUUUUUUUUUUUUGAAAGUCACCUUGGGGAUGUCUGUUCAGAUUUUCAGAACAUUUUUAGGAUUUCAGAAAUGCUAAGUGGAUUUUGCAGAGAUUUGCGUACAGUGUUUAUUGUAAGAGUAAAUUGAAAUCCUAAUUGUCUGUCAAUCUGUCUGCAGGUUGCAAUGGCUACAUGCAUGGUGGUACACAUACUGUGGAGUGGUGUGAGGUCGUUGAUCCAUUUUUGUAAAAUACAAUUACACAUCCACUUGAGAGCAAGUGGAAUAUUGUUUUUAAAAUAAAUUAGGUGCCUCACAAAUCUUAAACAUGGUAGCAUUCCCAGGUCAUUAAGUGGCUAUAAUAUUCUAUCUAAUUAACAUAAAAGGUAAGUUUAAAACCCAGAGGAACAUCAUUCAUGGUCCAGGUUUGGUUGGACAAGAAUAUUCAUUCAUUGUAACCUUGUAUUGUUUUCAGUAAACAUGAAAAAGUGUUACCAUCAACAAAUGAUACAUCCAGAUAGAUAUUUGGACAUUGGAACCGGUACUUUUCGUAACCUGCACCUCUAGAUUGCUGAAGCUCUUUUCCCAUUGAGCAUAUCUUGUUUCUAUAAUAAAAAAAUACAUGGAAAAACUAUCUGACUUUGACAUUGUGUCUCUCUGUCUCUUUAACUUUCGAUUGGAGAGAAUUUUGAACAAGCAGAGAAGUACACAGCAUAACAGAUCUCUCACAUACCCCUCCCCCAACCCCCACCAUCAUUAACCCUUGGUGGGUCCUGCUCCAUCCAAACCUGGAUCCCCUUCCCCAGCUCCCGGUCCUGUGUGAGGCUGAAGCACAUUUCAGGCAUCAUUUAAACACCUCCAUCUCCUCCCGACCUCACUGCCCUGCCAUCGCUGAAGGAUGCAUCCUCUAAUGCUAAUCCAGACCUCCAAGCCCCCUCGCCUGCAGUUGGCCUCCACACUGUCCCCAGAGUGACCUCCUUCCACCCUAAUCGGAACCCUGCCUUAAAACGCAUCCAGCAGAGCUGCCCGGCUGUGACAGGAUUGUGAAUGGGGUUGCAGGUCAUCAAGACACCAACGUCCUCCGCGGGAAGCAGCCAGAGGUGGCCUGAGCUGGCUGACCGUGGCCUGUGGCCGCACAGAGCUCAUCAGCUUGACGCCAAUGGGCUGUACACAUAAUACCCUAUGUCUGGAAAGGAGCUGGAACAUCCGAAGCCUCCAGCCUUGUACAGACGGGCCUUCCGAAACAGCCCUCAGGCUUGCUUUGUCAGUCUCGGCUUCCUCACCUUCACUCCUCUGCACCUACCCCUGCUGUACAGACUCAAGUGUCCCCUGUGAAUGGCAGUGGGCUGGGCUGGGGAGGCCGGUGGUGCGUAUCCCUGAAGGGCGGCUUUGCUGUAAUAUUGCCCUGGCUGCCCCGACAGUCUGUUCAGCCAGCUGUCUUUUAACAGAUACUGUACUGGGUGCCUUCUCUUUGCCAGACACUCUUCUAGGCGCUGGGAAUACCGAAGCGAUGGAAACAGAUCACACACAGACACACACACACACAAGCUUAGAAAGAUGUUUGGAAGUGUCCACCAAUGGUAGAAUUGGGGGUAAUCUUUGCACUUUUGUGUCUUCAGUUGUCUGCAUUCAUUGAUUUCUUUAGGAGAAGUGUGUUUCAUGUUUGCAAUGUGAUUUUUCUUAAAAACCGCAAAGAAGGCACACAGGGUUAGAAAUGACCAGAGAUGAAUUCUGGAUGGUGAGCCUAUGCACAAUGAGUUUCUGAUUUGUCGUUUUUUGUGCUUUUUAAAUCCCCUAACUGAUUUUUGAAUUUUAGUAAAAUGAGAAGGGAAAAGUGAAUCAGCUGCCAAGCAGGAGGUGAAAGAAAGAUUUUUUUUUUCUUGUAGCUGCAGAGUAACCACAAUAUCGAUGCCUGACUCCGGGGCACAGAUGUGCUGUGGGAAGCUGAGAUUACGGUCCCCUAGCUCUGUGGGGCUUUCUCGAAACCACCUUUCUGUGGCCUUAAUUCCAUGAAUGCAAACAAUAAUUACCAACCUAAGCAGAUUACUCAGCACAGUUUAGACGCCUUCGGGUCCCCGAAUGAGUCACAUUAUUGACUGCUCACAAUUAAUCUAAAAAAUUAAACCAAUUGCUUGUCUGGUUCCUUCUGCCCCAUUUUGCGCCUGGAUGACACUGGCACCUAUUUAUCUCCUGAACUAUGAUUUCUACUUUCUGUUCCCAUUUUUCUCCGGAACUGGAAUGUCCCAUUAAAAUGAAUUUGUUUCCGACCCAGGUCUUUCGAGUUUUCUCUCCUUGUCCCUCCCGUUUGCCGUUUGUCCCUUGAGCGUUGGUGGGCUACGGUGGAAUUGGGCUUUCUGUUUAUAAUUCUUCCAUGGUCUGUCUAGUUUUUCCAAUUACUUUGAAAACUCCCUCUGUCUUAACUCACUUUGCUUCAUCGGUUUUCACCUCCCCUGUCACAUCUGGAAGAAGUCCAUGCUGUUGCCCCAGCCCUCCCAGCCCUCCCAGCAUCCUGAGUGUUCAUUAGGAAUGAGGAAAUGACCUAGAAGCCUGGGGACACACAAACUAAUUCAAAAGUAUUUAUUGAGUCCCUAAUAGUACGCGACGCCUAGGAGAUGGUUGGGGGGAAGAGAGAGUACAAACAAAGCUUCUUUCUUCACUGAGCUUACAAUUUACCAAAGGAGAAAAGGUAACUGCACACCCAAUUUUAACUCAAAAUACAGAGCAGCACAAAAAGAAAAAAAAA